rnacentral:rRNA from 1 species
CCUACGGGUGGCAGCAGUGGGGAAUAUUGCACAAUGGGCGAAACCCUGAUGCAGCGACGCCGCGUGAGGGAGGAAGUAUUUCGGUAUGUAAAGCUCUAUCUGCAGGGAAGAAAAUUACGGUACCUGACUAAGAAGCUCCGUCUAACUACGUGCCAGCAGCCGCGGUACUACGUAGGGGGCAAGCGUUAUCCGGAUUUACUGGGUGUAAAGGGAGCGUAGGCGGGUAAUCAAGUCAGAAGUGAAAGCCCAGGGCUCAACCGUGGGAUUGCUGUUGAAACUGACUAGCUAGAGUGCAGGAGAGGUGAGCGGAAUUCGUGGUGUAGCGGUGAAAUGCGUAGAUAUUAGGAAGAACACCAGUGGCGAAGGCAGCUCACUGGACUGUAACUGACGUUGAGGCUCGAAAGCGUGGGGAGCAAACAGGAUUAGAUACCCUGGUAGUC